UACGAAGGGGGCUAGCGUUGCUCGGAAUCACUGGGCGUAAAGCGCACGUAGGCGGAUUGUUAAGUCAGGGGUGAAAUCCUGGAGCUCAACUCCAGAACUGCCUUUGAUACUGGCGAUCUUCGAGUCCGGGAGAGGUGAGUGGAACUGCGAGUGUAGAGGUGAAAUUCGUAGAUAUUCGCAAGAACACCAGUGGCGAAGGCGGCUCACUGGCCCGGUACUGACGCUGAGGUAGCGAAAGCGUGGGAGCAAACAGGAUUAGAA
rnacentral:rRNA from 1 species